GGGCAAAACAGAACUUGAAAUGCUUCAGAAUGUCUUCAGAAGACAGAAGAGAACCUAAAGUCUUUCCCUUACUCAUCACCAGUGCACACGUGGGACAGGGAGGUAAAAUCCAUACCAAUUCCCAGCCCUCUCUCAUGUCUCCUAUUAUCAGUGCUUUUCCCUGUGUGCUCCAUCCACUGGAAUAGCUGCCUUCUCUUCCCACCCGCUCCAUCACUUUCUCAUCUCCCAAAGCCUGGGUUCCUCACCCAGGCCAGGAUGACCAGGAUACAUCCACCACAACGUAUGCAUGGAGCUGAGGUUAUCCGCAUGCAGCAAAAGAAUAAAGGCAGCAGAAGUUUGUUCUUUAGCUGAAGACAACCAGGGUCAUUCCCUGAGAGCUCACGGUUUCAGCUAUGGACUUCUGCUGGAGACCGGACCUAUUGAUUUCACCGGAGUCACCCUAUUAACCAGCAGGAAGCAGCAAGAGGAUGUGGGCUGUAUCAUAUACAGCACUAUAGGUGAGGCAUUUCAGAAAUUGGCAGCUCAUGAAGAAAAUCCUAUUCCACUGUUUACGGCAGUGAAAAUCAAUCAGGAGCUUCUGGCCAUCUACAAAAAUGUGUGCAGAGUAUAUGCUGGGGGGCCAAAUAGUCGUGGGAAAGAUGGAGGGAGCAGAUGCAUGCCCAAGUGCCAGUGGUAUGAGCCCAAAAUUGCUCCUGGCUGCAGCUGAAAGCCAGAUCAAUCAUACCUUCAGCACAAUACAGCUAGGUAUGGAUCAGAUUCACAACUACUAGGCAUAAAAAUGAUUUGUCAUGUGCUUUUCCUGUAUUAUUAUCCUUAGAACAAAUUUGAUCAUGCAGAAUUUGAAUUUUCCACAUAGCUAUGCAGACGUGGGGCAACAGGAUUUCCUACCCACACCUACAGAGCUUUAAAUUUCCUUUCUUCCCUACAAACUCUCUCAGCAAAAAUCUGGACCUCACACCACCCCUUUCAGCUGGGCAGCCCACUUCUAACAGGGAGUCACUUACGAUCGUCGCUGAAGUCGUCCACCAGUAUGAUUUCAUGGAUGAGGUGCACUGGGGUGCGGUUCAUCACACUAAAAGACAGAGAGAGAAAAUCUUUGGCAGAGUUUGACCAACUCAUCAGCCCAGAAGAUGGGAAAGAAAAGCUUGGGAACCAGUCUUUGCAAAAGAAUGGCCAGGCUUGUGUUUCUAGAAAGAGUAUAUAAGAGAAGACCCAGAAACUGGUCUCUGCUUCAGUAACCUGCAUUGCCAAGCUAUCAGCUGCCCGCAGCCUAAUCCAACAGCUAAGCAUCUGAUAUUCUUGGGAAGUAGAUGGGAUUCACCCUUAUCACUAUGGUGAGCAAAAGAGAGCAGCCCAGAAUACCUGGAGGAAGAGGCUUCAUCUACAUGCAUGUUGCACCAAAUUCCCUUUCUGUCAUUUUCACAUCUCUAAUUGGGUAAAUGACAUGGUGUCCAAUGCCAGCCAGGCCAACACAGAGAAAAUAGCCCAGCUAAAAACAUCAUGACACAGCUCACAGCCAUGGCAGGGCAAUCGUUUUUAUCACUGACGUAGUGGUGCUUCAAGGGUUGCAGAGAGGAUAAGAACAGAGUCGUAGCCCUCCAGCUCCUUGAAAGAAAAGCUGGAAGAUGUAGUUUACAGGUCCCUCCACAUGUACAGUCACUGCAAGGUGUAUCUGAAAGCUACAACCUCCCUUAAUUAUAUCAAGGUGGUUUUUUGGGGAUUAUCAUUAAAAUUACUGGACCUGAUCUUCCCCUGUCAAGCACAGCACAGAAGUCAGCAGAACUAUACAUAUGUAAAAUCCUACUGCUAUCAAGGGUUAAGGCUGAGCUCUUGAAGCACUGCUCUCUGGGCUUCCC